rnacentral:rRNA from 1 species
CUACGGGUGGCAGCAGUCGAGAAUCAUUCACAAUGGGGGAAACCCUGAUGGUGCGACGCCGCGUGGGGGAUAAGGUCUUCGGAUUGUAAACCCCUGUCAUGUGGGACAUUAAAAGAUAGUACCACAAGAGGAAGAGACGGCUAACUCUGUGCCAGCAGCCGCGGUAAUACAGAGGUCUCAAGCGUUGUUCGGAAUCACUGGGCGUAAAGCGUGCGUAGGCGGUUUCGUAAGUCGUGUGUGAAAGGCGGGGGCUCAACCCCCGGACUGCACAUGAUACUGCGAGACUAGAGUAAUGGAGGGGGAACCGGAAUUCUCGGUGUAGCAGUGAAAUGCGUAGAUAUCGAGAGGAACACUCGUGGCGAAGGCGGG